rnacentral:rRNA from 1 species
UGAGGAAUAUUGCGCAAUGGGGGAAACCCUGACGCAGCGACGCCGCGUGGGUGAAGAAGGCCUUCGGGUUGUAAAGCCCUGUCAGGUGGGAAGAAAUGCAUUAUGGUUAAUAUCCAUAGUGUUUGACGGUACCACCAGAGGAAGCACCGGCUAAAUCCGUGCCAGCAGCCGCGGUAAUACGGAUGGUGCGAGCGUUGUUCGGAAUUACUGGGCGUAAAGGGCGCGUAGGCGGCGUGAUAAGUCAGAUGUGAAAGCCCACGGCUUAACUGUGGAAGUGCAUCUGAAACUGUCAUGCUUGAGUAUCGGAGAGGAAAGUGGAAUUCCCGGUGUAGAGGUGAAAUUCGUAGAGA